ensembl:lncRNA TRIM52-AS1 TRIM52 antisense RNA 1 (head to head)
GCUCCGGGGCCGCCCUCUUUCCCUGCCUCGCGACACCCAGACCGAGACCUCGGGAAUGCUCCGGCCCCCUGCCGCCGUCUCCCGGCCCGGUUCUCUUUCACUAAAAAUAGGCGAUUCUGGCAGCGCCCCUCCUAUGGGGCCUUGGGGGCAAUUGGGGUUUUGUCUUAGAGCCCGUGUGGACCCGGAUGGCGACGGCAGCCCGAGGAGAGGGAGGGCUGACUGUAUGGUUGGCUUUCCGACGACCAGACCCUGCAGGAUUCGGCCUUUCCCUUUGGAGUUUUCCUCCAUCCCCCUCCGUCCCUCCCAGGGGAUGCCCGCAGGCCACAGUGGUCACUGAAGGUCAACCCUGAGCCGAAGGAGAAGUGGCCUCGACCCUGGGGACCCCUUCAGAAGUCUACCUGUGCCUGCGCCCGCCGGACCUGCCGGCCUCUUCCUUCUCAUCCAGGGGGCCUCUUCUCCAGCCUCACGGAGGUGGGAAGCUUGCUGGAGGCCCCUACCUGCCUUUUGGGGAAGACCCCGAGGCUGGCCCACGCCCUGCUGGCAGGACCCUUCCUGACUGGGUCCACCGUUCUUCUGGGUCUCACCACUUCUCCCAGCCCCUGGGCUGCUUCCUCUCUCCCGUGUCUGGGACCCCAGAGGCACCACUUCCAUUCCAUACAAGCUUGCAGAGUCAAGACGAACUCUAACUCAUGGGAUGGACAAACUGGAAGAUGUAAAAUAAGUAAGGCUUUCUGGGCCAAAAAGCCUCUUCUUACAGAAAAUCAAAUUUUAAAAGAACAUUGACCUCAAAACAAUAAAACUGUCCUGGUUAUGCAAUAGAAAUAGCUAUAUAAAUGGAAUCAUAUCCUUAAUGAACACCUCCUGUGGCUACCCAACUUUUCACACAUCUUACUGAUUAUAGGCCUUGCUGUGAAUGCUUUCUUGCUCUAUCUGAAGUAUUCCCACCAGAGUUGUUUCCAACUUUAUUUCCUAUAUUAUGAAAAAUGAAGUUUUUUUAACAUUGUAACAAAGUAUAUGAAAGAUAAUGUAUACUGUAUUAAAUAAACCAUUAUACAAAAAUA